UCUCUGGUUGCUCUCUCUCUCUCUCACUUUGUUCUUAGACCAGGGAUGAAAAGAAAACAGUGCAUACCAGCUUCUGACUGCGAUUUCUAACUAUUUGGGAUCAGAUUUAGAAGAUGUUACAGUUGAAGAAAAGAUAGAUCAAGGAAGAAACAAUGAAAAGAAAAGGUGGGCCACAUAGCAAGGAAUGUGAGAAACCUGCCAAGAUGGUUAAGACCAAUCAAAUAUGCAAUCCAACAAGACAAUCAACAAAAAUGGCAAGAUUAGAAAGGAGAAUCAAACUUCAAGCAAAGAAAAUGAGACAGACUUCGAUCAUAAAUGGAGAAGUGCCAGGCCGUGCAACUAUACUAGAAGAACAACUUCUGAUCCAUGUGAAGGACAAAGCUAAAGAGGCAAGGCUGUAUCGGAAAAGAAAAA